UACGAGAGCCUCGAGCGUUAUCCGGAAUUAUUGGGCGUAAAGGGUGCGUAGGUUGUUCUGUUAGUCUUUUGUUAAAGCCCCGGGCUUAACCUGGGAAUCGCGAAAGAAACGGCAGAACUUGAAAGUGCGAGAGGCGUACGGAACUCAUGGUGUAGGGGUGAAAUCCGUUGAUAUCAUGGGGAACACCAAAUGCGAAGGCAGUACGCUGGCGCAUAUUUGACACUGAGGCACGAAAGCGUGGGUAGCGAAUGGG
rnacentral:misc_RNA from 1 species